rnacentral:lncRNA from 1 species
CGGUUGUGUGCUUCAGAAACUACAGAACAGGAAACCCCCCUCCUACAGCUCUCACCUCUUGCUUCCUGUUUAACUACAUGGGUGAGGGGAGAGAAGCAUCUUAGGAACCAAUAACUGUGUUGCAAAAGAGAAAUGUAAACAACAGCUGCCACGCUGGAAAUUAAAGGUCCUGAACUCGGUCAAUUCAGAUUGCAAUGCAGCUUCCACGCAGCGCUCGUUUUUCAGAAGCAAUGGUAGCGAAAACAGUAACCCAUGGAAAAAAGAACGGGUGGAGGAGAGGAAAGACUGGAUUGCUGAAAGGAAACAUGUCCGGUGAAGCAAAUUUCCUGAUUGUCAAGAAAGACUUACUAUUGCAUGUGAUGUAAAGCGGUGUCCUGAAACAAUUCUGUAGAGGACAUUUUGUUACCUAAGGGUACUGAAGAAAGUGGGAAUUGGUUGCUCUGGCAAGAAUAUGCAAGAAUCUAAUCUCUGCAGAAAAGGCUUUCUCCUGUCGAGAUUAGAAACUCCAGAGGAUUUCACCAGCCAAGUUGACAGACUCUAGACAUCAAAUUUUGAGAGACAAGUUGUUAUUAAUUAUUUAAAUUGCAGUCACAUCUAGAAGCCUCAGCCAUGAUCUGGGUCUAAUUGUGCAAAGUGUUGUACAUACCCAUAGUAAGAGAGAGUCCCCAGAAGAAAUUCCAAUCUAAACAGACAAAGGGGCAGAAGAAAUAUAUCAGAUAGGAUGAUGUCUAUUUUACAGAUGGGUAAUUGAGGCACAGAGAGAUUAUUUGAUUUACACAGGGAGCUGAGACAGAGCUGGGAUCUGAAGCCCAAUUUCCUGAGUCCCAGCCUAGGCCACAGAACCAUCCUUCCUCUCAUAUUAUCUGCCUGUGGGUAACUGCCUGUGUCACUUAACUCAAAGGGUUGGGAUUCCAGUGUGCAUUUAGACCACUGUGUGGUGUAAUGAUGAUGGGGCUUUGUGGAGCUAGACUGUUCUCCUUUUAUGUAAGCUGAUUUCCCCUAUUAUUUCUGCAUUAUUUUGUGUAAUGUCCUUUUUAAGCUUGUCACCACUAUAACGAACAAAA